ACCUAAGCCGAGGCCGAUAGGCGUAGGCGAUGGACAACAGGUAGAGAUUCCUGUACCAGUGCUAAUUGUUUAACCGAUGGGGUGACACAGAAGGAUAGGGAAUCGCACGAAUGGAAAUGUGCGUCCAAGCAGUGAGUGUGAGAAGUAGGCAAAUCCGCUUCUCGCGAAGCAUGAGCUGUGAUGGGGAAGGAAAUUAAGUACGGAAGUUCCUGAUUUCACGCUGUCAAGAAAAGCCUCUAGGAAGAGUAGUACUGCCCGUACCGCAAACCGACACAGGUAGAUGAGGAGAGAAUCCUAAGGUGAGCGAGAGAACUCUCGUUAAGGAACUCGGCAAAAUGACCCCGUAACUUCGGGAGAAGGGGUGCUCUAUUAGGGUGCAAGCCCGAGAGAGCCGCAGUGAAUAGGCCCAGGCGACUGUUUAGCAAAAACACAGGUCUCUGCAAAACCGUAAGGUGACGUAUAGGGGCUGACGCCUGCCCGGUGCUGGAAGGUUAAGAGGAGUGCUUAGCUUCGGCGAAGGUACGAAUUGAAGCCCCAGUAAACGGCGGCCGUAACUAUAACGGUCCUAAGGUAGCGAAAUUCCUUGUCGGGUAAGUUCCGACCCGCACGAAAGGCGCAACGAUCUGGGCACUGUCUCAACGAGAGACUCGGUGAAAUUAUAGUACCUGUGAAGAUGCAGGUUACCCGCGACAGGACGGAAAGACCCCGUGGAGCUUUACUGCAACCUGAUAUGGAAUGUUUGUACCGCUUGUACAGGAUAGGUAGGAGCCGAAGAGACGUGUGCGCUAGCAUACGAGGAGGCAAUGGUGGGAUACUACCCUGGCUGUAUGACCAUUCUAACCCGCCACGCUUAGCGCGUGGGGAGACAGUGUCAGGUGGGCAGUUUGACUGGGGCGGUCGCCUCCUAAAGAGUAACGGAGGCGCCCAAAGGUUCCCUCAGAAUGGAUGGAAAUCAUUCGCAGAGUGUAAAGGCACAAGGGAGCUUGACUGCGAGACUGACAAGUCGAGCAGGGACGAAAGUCGGGCUUAGUGAUCCGGUGGUUCCGCAUGGAAGGGCCAUCGCUCAACGGAUAAAAGCUACCCCGGGGAUAACAGGCUUAUCUCCCCCAAGAGUCCACAUCGACGGGGAGGUUUGGCACCUCGAUGUCGGCUCGUCGCAUCCUGGGGCUGUAGUCGGUCCCAAGGGUUGGGCUGUUCGCCCAUUAAAGCGGCACGCGAGCUGGGUUCAGAACGUCGUGAGACAGUUCG
rnacentral:rRNA from 1 species